CCUACGGGUGGCAGCAGUGGGGAAUAUUGCACAAUGGGGGAAACCCUGAUGCAGCAACGCCGCGUGAGUGAAGAAGGUUUUCGGAUUGUAAAGCUCUGUUAGCAGGGAAGAGGAAGGACGGUACCUGCAGAGGAAGCCACGGCUAACUACGUGCCAGCAGCCGCGGUAAUACGUAGGUGGCAAGCGUUGUUCGGAAUAACUGGGCGUAAAGGAUGCGUAGGCGGUUAAACAAGUUAUAUGUUAAAUAUAUAGGCUUAACCUGUAGAAAGCAUAUAAAACUGUUUAACUAGAGUGCAGGAGAGGUAAGUGGAAUUCCUAGUGUAGCGGUGAAAUGCUUAGAUAUCACGCAGAACCCCGAUUGCGAAGGCAGCCUGCCAAGCCAUGACUGACGCUGAUGCACGAAAGCGUGGGGAUCAAACAGGAUUAGAUACCCGAGUAGUC
rnacentral:rRNA from 1 species